rnacentral:pre_miRNA from 1 species
UUUAUACUCCCUCCGUCCGGAAAUACUUGUCAUCAAAAUGGAUAAAAGGGGAUGCAUCUAGACGUAUUUUAGUUCUAGAUACAUCUCUUUUUAUCCAUUUUGAUGACAAGUAUUUUCGGACGGAGGGAGUAUGAG